AUUGAACGCUGGCGGCAUGCUUUACACAUGCAAGUCGAACGGUAACAGGCCGCAAGGUGCUGACGAGUGGCGAACGGGUGAGUAAUGCAUCGGAACGUGCCCAGUCGUGGGGGAUAACGCAGCGAAAGCUGCGCUAAUACCGCAUACGAUCUAUGGAUGAAAGCGGGGGACCGUAAGGCCUCGCGCGAUUGGAGCGGCCGAUGUCAGAUUAGGUAGUUGGUGGGGUAAAGGCUCACCAAGCCAACGAUCUGUAGCUGGUCUGAGAGGACGACCAGCCACACUGGGAGUGAGACACGGCCCAGACUCCUACGGGAGGAAGCAGUGGGGAAUCUUGGACAAUGGGCGCAAGCCUGAUCCAGCAAUGCCGCGUGCAGGAAGAAGGCCUUCGGGUUGUAAACUGCUUUUGUACGGAACGAAACGGUCCUGGUUAAUACCCGGGGCUAAUGACGGUACCGUAAGAAUAAGCACCGGCUAACUACGUGCCAGCCGCCGCAGUAAAAC
rnacentral:rRNA from 1 species